rnacentral:rRNA from 1 species
UGGGGGAAUAUUGCACAAUGGGCGAAAGCCUGAUGCAGCAACGCCGCGUGAGUGAUGAAGGUCUUCGGAUUGUAAAGCUCUGUCUUUUGGGACGAUAAUGACGGUACCAAAGGAGGAAGCCACGGCUAACUACGUGCCAGCAGCCGCGGUAAUACGUAGGUAGCGAGCGUUGUCCGGAUUUACUGGGCGUAAAGGGUGCGUAGGCGGAUGUUUAAGUGAGAUGUGAAAUACCCGGGCUUAA